GGAAGUAAAAGCGUAACAAGGUUUCCGUAGGUGAACCUGCGGAAGGAUCAUUACUGAGUGAGGGCCCCUCGGGGUCCAACCUCCCACCCGUGUUUAACGAACCUUGUUGCUUCGGCGGGCCCGCCUCACGGCCGCCGGGGGGCAUCUGCCCCCGGGCCCGCGCCCGCCGAAGCCACCUGUGAACGCUGUCUGAAGUAUGCAGUCUGAGACAAUUAUUAAAUUAAUUAAAACUUUCAACAACGGAUCUCUUGGUUCCG
rnacentral:misc_RNA from 1 species